rnacentral:lncRNA from 1 species
GUGGGCCGCCAGGUGGGGCCACGGCGCGAGCGCGCGGUUUCUCCCUGGUGCGCAUGCUCGCCACCGCUGCGGGCUGGCCUUUUUUUUUUUUUUUUUUUUUUUUCCGGGCCGCCCCGGCGGCUGCGUACUGGCUGUGGGAUGGGAAGUGAAGCCCCAGCGAGCGGCUGUGGUGGGGCUGUGCGGAGCAGCCAGCGGGAGGCGGCGGCGGCAGCGCGGCGGUGAGCAGCCGAGAGCGCGGAGCCGGGCGGAGGAAGCACCUGCAGGCACAGGCGGCGGCUCCACCAUGGCGAUUCGCAAGAAGAGCAACAAGAACCCGCCGGUGUUGAGCCAUGAAUUCGUGCUGCAGAAUCACGCGGACAUCGUCUCCUGUCUGGCGAUGCUCUUCCUGCUGGGGCUUAUGUUCGAGAUAACAGCAAAAGGAGCCAUCAUCUUUGUCGCCCUUCAGUACAACGUUACCCGCCCUGCAACAGGUGAGUAUUAACUGGACCGCAACUGAACAGACUUGGAAGUGUCCGCGGACACUGGAGUCUACACUAACUCCUCCUAAGACUCUAUCUUAUCCUGAGCAGUGUAUGAAGCAGUUUUCUGUGUUCGCUGUUUAUUAUAUGCUUGGCGCAUGGUCCCGAAGCUCCAUCAGAGAGUUCUGGAUUGCUUCCUCCGAGCCUUUUCUAAAGGGCAUCCUGAGCGUAGGUGUUCAGUCAGGAUCCCUACAGCUGAGGUGGGCUGCCUCAGGUUCCUGCCCUUUCUUCUAUUCUGUACCAGGAACGGGACUUGUUCACACUCAUUCUCUUCAUUUUUGUUGAAUUCUGCCUCUAGACAGUAUUUUGACUGGAGAACAUAUUAGUAAAAUCUAGGAAAUAUCAGAUAAUUAUGUCCAAACUAUACUUUUAUUUUAGAAAGUUGUAUUUCCAAAUUAUGCUGUGUAAAAAGUAAGUUGCCAUGGGAAGCCGGUUGCCUCUGAGGGCAGGACUGUGGUGACUUUCAUAAGAGAGGGAAGAUGCUUGCUUAGGGAAAUAAAUGGCAAGUAUCUGGUGGUGACCUGCCCUGGGGUGUCCCUCCGAGAAAGAGAGAGGGACAGGAUGAGUUUGUACUGCUGUGUGGAGCUUUAUAAAUGCUCGAUUUAGUGACAGAGGAUAUUGCUUGAGGGGGUAGUGUCCUGUGGCACUAAAGAGUGUCCCUAAGCAGACCCCCAGACUCCAAGAACAGGUGUCAACAACUCAAAAAUAGUAUAUUUGCUUUGAGAAAUUAAAGCAAAUUCAAAAAUUAAAAGAACUUUUAAGUGGUAGUUGCAUCUCUCUGGUGCUUAGAGAUCAGAACCAAGGCAGAGGAAAGUUAAAUUGGC